rnacentral:rRNA from 1 species
AUCAGAAGUGCGAAUGCUGACAUAAGUAACGAUAAAGCGGGUGAAAAGCCCGCUCGCCGGAAGACCAAGGGUUCCUGUCCAACGUUAAUCGGGGCAGGGUGAGUCGACCCCUAAGGCGAGGCCGAAAGGCGUAGUCGAUGGGAAACAGGUUAAUAUUCCUGUACUCGGUGUUACUGCGAAGGGGGGACGGAGAAGGCUAGGCUAGCCGGGCGACGGUUGUCCCGGUUUAAGCGUGUAGGGGGAGUG